rnacentral:rRNA from 1 species
GACAUAGGUGGCGAGCGUUAUUCGGAAUUACUAGGCGUAAAGCGAGUGUAGGCGGGCGCUUAAGUCUGUCGUGAAAUCUCCCGGCUUAACUGGGAGGGGUCGACGGAAACUGGGCGUCUCGAGUGGGGUAGGGGGCAGUGGAAUUCCCGGUGUAGCGGUGAAAUGCGUAGAUAUCGGGAAGAACAUCGGUGGCGAAGGCGGCCAGCUGGGCCAUUGCUGACGCUGAUGCGCGACAGCGUGGGGAGCAAACAGG